GGAAUUAUUGACAAUGGGGGAAACCCUGAUCAUGCAACGCCGCGUGGAUGAUGAAGUAUCUCGGUACGUAAAAUCCUUUCGACAGGGAAGAAAACCAGCUUGCUGGUCUGACGGUACCUGUAGAAGAAGCCCCGGCCAACCCCGUUCCAGCAGCCGCGGUAAUACGGGGGGGGCAAGCGUUGUUCGGAUUUACUGGGCGUAAAGGGCGCGUAGGCGGCCUGUUAAGUCGGAUGUGAAAACUGGGGGCUCAACCCUCAGCCUGCAUCCGAUACUGGCAAGCUAGAGUGCGAGAGGGGAAGGCGGAAUUCCUGGUGUAGCGGUGAAAUGCGUAGAUAUCAGGAGGAACACCGGUGGCGAAGGCGGCCUUCUGGAUCGCAACUGACGCUGAGGCGCGAAAGCUAGGGGAGCA
rnacentral:rRNA from 1 species